UACGUAGGGUGCAAGCGUUGUCCGGAAUUAUUGGGCGUAAAGAGCUCGUAGGCGGUCUGUCGCGUCGGCUGUGAAAACUCGGGGCUCAACCCCGAGCCUGCAGUCGAUACGGGCAGACUAGAGUGCUGUAGGGGAGACUGGAAUUCCUGGGGUAGCGGUGAAAUGCGUAGAUAUCAGGAGGAAUACCGAUGGCGAAGGCAGCCCCCUGGGUCGAUACUGACGCUCAUGCACGAAAGCGUGGGGAGCAAACAGG
rnacentral:rRNA from 1 species